ACUGAACGCUGGCGGCAUGCUUCACACAUGCAAGUCGAACGGUAGAGGGGGCAACCCCUUGAGAGUGGCGAACGGGUGAGUAAUGCAUCGGAACGUGCCCAGUCGUGGGGGAUAACGCAGCGAAAGCUGUGCUAAUACCGCAUACGAUCUCUGGAUGAAAGCGGGGGACCGAAAGGCCUCGCGCGAUUGGAGCGGCCGAUGUCAGAUUAGGUAGUUGGUGGGGUAAAGGCUCACCAAGCCAACGAUCUGUAGCUGGUCUGAGAGGACGACCAGCCACACUGGGACGGAGACACGGCCCAGACUCCUACGGGAGGCAGCAGUGGGGAAUUUUGGACAAUGGGCGAAAGCCUGAUCCAGCAAUGCCGCGUGCAGGAAGAAGGCCUUCGGGUUGUAAACUGCUUUUGUACGGAACGAAAAGGUCUGGGUUAAUACCCUGAGCACAUGACGGUACCGUAAGAAUAAGCACCGGCUAACUACGUGCCAGCAGCCGCCGUAA
rnacentral:rRNA from 1 species